CGCCCAGCCUGUCGGCGCCCUCGCUGACGCCACGGCCGUCCAUCUCCUCGCCUGCCUCUGGGUGCAUUGUUGAGACUCCCCUGUCUGGACUCGCCCGGACACCUGGGACCCACAGCUUCCCUCUGUGACCCCGGGAGCCCUGGCCCCCUUCGCCUCUGCGCCCCCUCACCCCCCCUAACAUGCUGGAGCAAGUGGUGAGCGCAGGCUUGUCCAGCCUGAGUCCCCGGAGGGUGGUGCCCGUGCAGCCUGCAGACGUCACUCUGGGAGCCGGAGGUUUGGGGCUCUGCUCCUUCUUGGUUCGGGGCAGGCCAAUGUGCGGAGUCAGCCCUGUUAAAAACCCCGGACGCUAUUGUAAGAAGAUAAUAAGGAAAUGCAAAGGCCCUAAUGGUCAGCGCCCGCUCCCUCAGUGCUCCAGGCUCUGCUCAAGGCACCUGCAGGGGACCCCUCCCCUCCAACCCCCGCGAGGGGCUGCGGGUGCCGUGCAGAUGAGAGAACGGGGCGCCAUGGCAGAGCGGGGACUGGAACUCGGACUCUGGUUCCAUCCCUCCUCCUCCUCGGGCCCCAUGGCCGUCUGGGCGGCAGCGGGGGGGAGUUAAAUGAUGUUCAGCCAGGGCCGAGGGUCACCCAGCGGUCACGUGGUGACGUAAACAGGGACUGAUGUGGGAGUUCACGGUUGUAACAGGUGGACCUUUGGCUGCAAGGAUUGGGAAAGGCGGUGAAUGGUGAUUUGAGCAAAUGGGGGUUUUGUUUUUCUUACACACAGGCGUCAGCGGCUUGUAUUUUCCUGUUGUUCCAGUAGUGCCAGCUCCCUACCUUUGCUCUGUGUCCUUAGCACGGUGGUUGUUCUUGUCCUCCACACCUCAGUGUCCUAAAAGGGCUCCUGCAGCUCCAGCCUUCGCGUCCGGGUUGCAGGCAGCGGGGAGGGGGAAGAGCUGCCCAGGCCGUGUCUGCUCCCUCUUAACUCCCACAUCAGACUCCUGUGACGUCAUUGACCAGGAUGGGUUACCUGCCCAUCACUAGCUGCAGGGCAUGCUGGGAAAGUGAGAACAGGAGUGUCAGUGAUGGGCUUAGAUGCACAAGGACUCAGGGCCACCUGAGGGAAACUGGUUGGGAGCAGGGGCGGGAAGGUAAGAGCCUGCCGAGACGGUGGAGGGAGGAGGCCGUAACGCUCCGUGAGGAGGGUCCCAUGUUUGAAAUCCUGAGAAUGUGCUUACAGACAGAGCCCAGGAGAGCCGCAGGGUCCCGUGGAAUCGGGGCUGCCCACGAUGAUCCCUCACUUAGCUAUUUGCUUUCCCGCUCAAGGGAAACGGCGGUGCCCAGGAGCCAUGCUCCAGGUGGCCCAGCCUCCGUCACUAUUGUGACAGUAGACUCCUGGUGGUGUAGUUGGCCAGCCGCUCUUGGGGGCCAGUAUGAGAGCCUUUCUUAUAUUUCUACGCUGAUUCCUUUUUUCUUUCACAAAGAGAAAAAACAAGAGCUCUUAUGAAUCAUUCUCAGUUCCCUGACUUUAGAAAUGUGUGGUGGAGAACAGAGAGGUGCGGUGACUUGCCCAGAGCACACAGCCGGCGUGUGGCGGGCUUCAUACUGGGGGAAGAGGCCGAUGAUGGCUUUAGCAGAGGGGCGAGGGCGAGGGUGGAGGUAAGGGCGCCAGUCACUUUAGUGUGUCUUUCUUCCCCAGAGAAGACAUGUCUCAAGCAGGACACCUCUCCAGGAGCCUCAUCUUGUGCACCUUCCUGCAGGAGCAUGGGCUGCCAGCGGCCGAGGAUCCCGGCGUGACCAGCCUCCUCCAGUACUCGCCUGAGCCCCUGGGAUGGCAGCAGGGGACAUCAUUGGGUAUCAGCAUGCAGCUGAGGGCUCAGACCAACCAGAAGCCCCUGCCCCUGCUUCUGGAGCCACCGGUGGGCAGACCUUGAUGGCUGUCUGCAGCAAGAGCCCUCCCUCACGAGGUGGCCAUGCGGCUGGCCUUCAUUGGGGACGAGUUGGAAGUGAGAUGGACGCUGCCCCGCUUUGCCCACGUGCCCUGGAUGGCCAUGUACAGCUUCGCGCACACCUACAACCAGACCGGCCUGAGGGUGGUCCUUACCAGUGUUAUGGGUGGCCUCCCUUACCUCAGGGGGAACAGAAGGUUCUGGAGCUUCCUGAUCCUCAGGGCCUGGGUGUCCCCCCGCCAGGGACAGGGGCGCAAGCUGUCCGGGCUGCUGCUGUUGGCGCUGCUGCUAGACUGGGGCCUGCACCUCCUCCAGUGACGCGCUGCUGGCCAGCGCGGGGCGGGCUGGCCCCUCCCCCACCACCACCCUGGAGGUGGCCUUGUUGGUUUUGUCUUUUUAACUGUUUUCUUAUGAUCCCUUUUUUAUAUUUAAAUUCUGAGUGCUGGGACACUCCUGAGGUUUCAUACGUGUUUUUUUGGUUUUGUUUUUUGUAAGAGAAAUGAAUUAUACCUCUGGGAUCUUCAUGGCUAACUGUUCUCCUGCCCCAGGAGCCAUCCUCUCCUGUGGGCCAUGCAGCAGGCGCUGGGGGAGUGCUGGUCACACCCGUGUCUGCGAUGCCCGCAGCAGAGAGAAUCUGCUGGAGUAGAUUUUGAGGGGUGAGGAGUCAAUAAAAUGUUGGUUUCCAUU